UAGUUUCCUAUUCUAUUUAGGAUUGUUUUUAGUUUUCCUAUUUUAUUAGGAUAAGUUAUCUUCCUAUUUUAUCUAGACUUCAUUUAGGUUUAUCUGAACCCAUUUAUUCUAUGUAUUUGAGUUAGUUUUUCAGAUUUAAUAAUUAAAAUUUCCAGUAGAGAUUUUCCCUCAAUUUUCACUCUUGUAUGUGAUUGAGUUCUUUCCUGUGAGCUUCAGGCUGCGUCGUUACAAAAGAACAAAAUUGACAAAAAUAUCAUGAAACAGAUUAAUAAGGGGCUAGAAAUUGCAAAAAUAUUACUAUGUUUCAAUUAGUUUCCUUUCAUUAUAGUUUCCUCAUAACAUGCAUACUCCUUGCAUAUUGUUACAGUAAUCCUAAUUCCCACCAUUUAGAUGAGAUGGGUUUUCAUAUGACCACCCCACAAGCAGCAAUUAUAGUAUUCAAACAACUGCACACCAAAGAAAACUAAAUGCAUACAUACCAUGUUCCUGA
rnacentral:misc_RNA from 1 species